AUUGAACGCUGGCGGCAGGCCUAACACAUGCAAGUCGAGCGGUAGAGCGAAGCUUGCUUCUCUUGAGAGCGGCGGACGGGUGAGUAAUGCCUAGGAAUCUGCCUGGUAGUGGGGGAUAACGUUCGGAAACGGACGCUAAUACCGCAUACGUCCUACGGGAGAAAGCAGGGGACCUUCGGGCCUUGCGCUAUCAGAUGAGCCUAGGUCGGAUUAGCUAGUUGGUGGGGUAAUGGCUCACCAAGGCGACGAUCCGUAACUGGUCUGAGAGGAUGAUCAGUCACACUGGAACUGAGACACGGUCCAGACUCCUACGGGAGGCAGCAGUGGGGAAUAUUGGACAAUGGGCGAAAGCCUGAUCCAGCCAUGCCGCGUGUGUGAAGAAGGUCUUCGGAUUGUAAAGCACUUUAAGUUGGGAGGAAGGGCAGUAAAUUAAUACUUUGCUGUAUUGACGUUACCGACAGAAUAAGCACCGGCUAACUCUGUG
rnacentral:rRNA from 1 species